GUAGGGAAUAUUGGGCAAUGGUCGGAAGACUGACCCAGCCAUGCCGCGUGCAGGAAGACGGCCCUCUGGGUUGUAAACUGCUUUUAUCUGGGAAGAAAAAGGCCAUGCGUGGCAAAUUGCCGGUACCAGAUGAAUAAGCACCGGCUAACUCCGUGCCAGCAGCCGCGGUAAUACGGAGGGUGCAAGCGUUGUCCGGAUUUAUUGGGUUUAAAGGGUGCGGAGGCGGCUGAUUAAGUCAGCGGUGAAAGACUCCGGCUUAACCGGAGCAGUGCCGUUGAUACUGGUUAGCUUGAGUGUUGGAGGGGUACAUGGAAUUGAUGGUGUAGCGGUGAAAUGCAUAGAUACCAUCAGGAACACCGAUAGCGAAGGCAUUGUACUGGCCAACAACUGACGCUGAUGCACGAAAGUGUGGGGAUCGAACAGGAUUAGAAACCCCUGUAGUCC
rnacentral:rRNA from 1 species